AAAUGUGGUGAAAUUUUUAGGUAAUGAGAAAUCAAAACUUUAGCAGCACUCUAAAACAAAUGAUGGGCAACCAUCAUUCCUUUCAUUUACCUCCUAAAAAUAAUCAAUCAUCAUUAAUGAUACACAUUUCACAAUUAAUCCUCCAAUACCCUUUUUCUCUCUCUUUCUCUCUAAUCCCAAUUCGUGACAAAUGGAUGCUGAAUUGAACCAUCCAACAAUCCUAAAAUCCAGCGGCAUAACUCUUUAUUUGCAAGGUGCCAAUGUUACCAACAACUCCAUUUCUAAAUACUGAGUGAAAACAAUCAACCUUUGACAUGUGAGGACAUGGACAGAUCUUAAACCUGCUUUAUUCUGGCUGCUGAUGUGAUUUUUCUUCCUGGGUUUCCCUUGCACCCAGUUGAAUACCAUUUGAAUACCAUUUGAGCAAGUGUCUUUACUAACAGUAGCAACAAAUUGCCAGUCUUUUUUUGGUCUAAGGUCUUUCUGUUUCUAGUAGCUACAUCGGGUUAGACUCAAACUGGAUUGGAUCCCAAUCAGCGAAAAACUCCACGAAACUUGAAACUGUGACCUUAGCACCAAUUCUACCUUCCGUAACAGGAAACAGUGAAGCCAUUACAGUACCUUGAAUCUGAUAUCUUCUUGAUGGUUUACUAGUAUAGAAGCUUGCAUCUGUUCUGAACAAGCUGAAGUUAGCCAAUUGGCAAUAGACUCGAACCGCCAAAUUGGCACAUUGAAGUUCCAUCUUCGGGAACUCCUCAGCGAACUGCUUACUGUGGCCAUGCAUUCUCGGUCCCUCCAAACCCGAAACAAUACCAUUUGUCAUGCAUCUACUUGUGAUCUAUUUUAUCAGACUUAAAUUGAAUAAUUUAUACUCAUGAAAUGUCGAAUUACUUGGUUGCAGAUGCAAAUAUGUCAAUCAUCUUAUUGUGCCUGUGGCUUGCAGGAAUAACAUAUGUUGUUGGAGACUGCAAUAUUAAAGAAGGUACGGAAAGCUUGGUUUCAACAAAUACAUGAAAUCAAAACUUUUACAUUGAAGAAUGCCAUGAAUAGUUUUACAUUCCAGUUCAAGUUCCCAACAACCACACCCUUUCUUCCAGAUGAUCAUGGAGUAAGCUAAAUUCGAAAAAAAAAUGAAAGAAAAGAUCAACUAGUUAUCUAUUGCAAUUUGGGUCCUACUACCUUUUGAUGCAACCUUCUAAUUCUUUUGGACUUUCAUACAAUCCAUGCCAACUGUCUACGUACUCACAGCUGCUCCAUCGGUUGCCCAUGAGAGUAUGGUUGUUCUCCAUCUAAAAAUCAAAGAGAGAAGCAAAACAAUUAGUCUUCCAGGUGUACAGAAUCCAGAAAAGGUUUUACCUUGUAUGCACCAGAGUUGAAAAUGUAUAAUUAGAAAGGAAAAUUUAGGUGCAUUUAGAUCUCAUCAUACAGUCUCUGAAUACUGGAUCAAAACCAAGUUGUACGUGUCCAGUGUUGUAUUCUUCAUUCUAUUACAUUUUCCAUGCAAACUCUUACGGUAAUAA